rnacentral:rRNA from 1 species
AAUAUUGGACAAUGGGGGCAACCCUGAUCCAGCCAUGCCGCGUGUGUGAAGAAGGUCUUCGGAUUGUAAAGUUCUGUUGUUAGGGAAGAAUAAGUGCCAUUCAAAUAGGUUGGCACCUUGACGGUACCUGACUAGAAAGCCCCGGCUAACUACGUGCCAGCAGCCGCGGUAAUACGUAGGGGGCAAGCGUUGUCCGAAAUUAUUGGGCGUAAAGGGCUCGCAGGCGGCUUCUUAAGUCUGAUGUGAAAUAUUGCGGCUCAACCGCAAGAGGUCAUUGGAAACUGGGAGGCUUGAGUAUAGGAGAGGAAAGUGGAAUUCCACGUGUAGCGGUGAAAUGCGUAGAGAUGUGGAGGAACACCAGUGGCGAAGGCGACUUUCUGGCCUAUAACUGACGCUGAGGAGCGAAAGCGUGGGUAGCAAACA